rnacentral:rRNA from 1 species
UACGAACUGUGCAAACGUUAUUCGGAAUCACUGGGCUUAAAGGGUGCGUAGGCGGCCAGCUAAGCAGGGUGUGAAAGCCCCCGGCUCAACCGGGGAAUAGCGCCCUGAACUAGCGGGCUGGAGUGAGAUAGGGGUGUGCGGAACUUCCAGUGGAGCGGUGAAAUGUGUUGAUAUUGGAAGGAACGCCGGUGGCGAAAGCGGCACACUGGGUCUCAACUGACGCUGAGGCACGAAAGCCAGGGGAGCAAACGGG